GACGAACGCUGGCGGCGUGCCUAAUACAUGCAAGUUGAGCGCUGAAGGUUGGUACUUGUACCAACUGGAUGAGCAGCGAACGGGUGAGUAACGCGUGGGGAAUCUGCCUUUGAGCGGGGGACAACAUUUGGAAACGAAUGCUAACACCGCAUAAAAACUUUAAACACAAGUUUUAAGUUUGAAAGAUGCAAUUGCAUCACUCAAAGAUGAUCCCGCGUUGUAUUAGCUAGUUGGUGAGGUAAAGGCUCACCAAGGCGAUGAUACAUAGCCGACCUGAGAGGGUGAUCGGCCACAUUGGGACUGAGACACGGCCCAAACUCCUACGGGAGGCAGCAGUAGGGAAUCUUCGGCAAUGGACGAAAGUCUGACCGAGCAACGCCGCGUGAGUGAAGAAGGUUUUCGGAUCGUAAAACUCUGUUGGUAGAGAAGAACGUUGGUGAGAGUGGAAAGCUCAUCAAGUGACGGUAACUACCCAGAAAGGGACGGCUAACUACGUG
rnacentral:rRNA from 1 species